AUUGAACGCUGGCGGCAUGCUUUACACAUGCAAGUCGGACGGCAGCACAGAGAAGCUUGCUUCUUGGGUGGCGAGUGGCGAACGGGUGAGUAAUAUAUCGGAACGUACCGAGUAAUGGGGGAUAACUAAUCGAAAGAUUAGCUAAUACCGCAUAUUCUCUGAGGAGGAAAGCAGGGGACCUUCGGGCCUUGCGUUAUUCGAGCGGCUGAUAUCUGAUUAGCUAGUUGGUGGGGUAAAGGCCUACCAAGGCGACGAUCAGUAGCGGGUCUGAGAGGAUGAUCCGCCACACUGGGACUGAGACACGGCCCAGACUCCUACGGGAGGCAGCAGUGGGGAAUUUUGGACAAUGGGCGCAAGCCUGAUCCAGCCAUGCCGCGUGUCUGAAGAAGGCCUUCGGGUUGUAAAGGACUUUUGUCAGGGAAGAAAAGGCUGUUGCUAAUAUCGACAGCUGAUGACGGUACCUGAAGAAUAAGCACCGGCUAACUACGUGCCAGCAGCCGCGGUAAUACGUAGGGUGCGAGCGUUAAUCGGAAUUACUGGGCGUAAAGCGAGCGCAGACGGUUACUUAAGCAGGAUGUGAAAUCCCCGGGCUCAACCUGGGAACUGCGUUCUGAACUGGGUGACUAGAGUGUGUCAGAGGGAGGUAGAAUUCCACGUGUAGCAGUGAAAUGCGUAGAGAUGUGGAGGAAUACCGAUGGCGAAGGCAGCCUCCUGGGAUAACACUGACGUUCAUGCUCGAAAGCGUGGGUAGCAAACAGG
rnacentral:rRNA from 1 species